AGCAGUUGGCUGCCGCCGCCGCAGCUCAAGGAUCCGACUUCAUGGGGGUGGGGGGCACCCUCUGGCGGGCGGCCCGGCGAGCCGCACAGAGCACGGCGAGCGCACCGCGCGGCGGCCGGCCCGCGCCCUUAACCCUUCGCUGCGCGCCGCCCGGGGAGGCGGGCACCUUUCCCAAAGAGUGGCUCGGGAUGGGGUGCGGGGGAGGGGAGACGCGGACCGGAGGGCAAGGUUCCUUCCAGGUUUGGGAAGGGGGCGGGGAGCUGGGCGAUGAGGUAAUUUGAGCGGUGACGGGUCGGUCCUCGCGCGCCUCCCUGGGUCCCUGCACCUAGUUGGAGGGGACUGAACGACAACGGGGCGCUACUCAGGCAACCUGGGGGACUCCCCCAAGGGCUGUCAGGCUUCAGCUGGGAGCCGAUGCAACACCCCAGCGGGGAGGGGAGGUCGGCCCAUUCUAAUCCCGACGUGUCCUUGGUCCCAGGCGCUCGGAGCAGCAUCUGAGAGGGCUCACUCUGAUCAUCAGCUGCACGUUAAGCCACAAACCGGCGUCGCUUCGGCGUUCCGGAACCCAGGCCUGGGGGCCGCGGGGAUUGCCUCUGCGUGCAACUCCGGAAAGUUUCAAGGGGUCCCCCGACUGCACAGGUCCGGAAAUCGGCUUUGAUAUGGAACUACUCCGCUCUAGCCUGGAAAGGAGACCCGCGCACUCCUCUCGCAGCUAAUUUCGGAUCAUUAAUUUAAUCGGAAAUGAGGUAACCAGUGUAGGAGACAGAGAAAGCAACCGGAGCAUCAAAUGGCAGUUCUCGAGAAUCGACGAGGAACUUAAAUCUGGACUCAGGGUUUCAGUGCGGUCUCCGACUCCCACCACCCCGCCCCUCCGCCUGUCUCGCCGCCAGGUGUGACCUCCACGCGAAGGAAUCUUCUUCGGAUGGGUGCACCUUGCCAACAGGUGUGGCACCUGGAGGACUAGGAGGCGCCUCCAGACUAAGGGCGCUCAGUGCGGCGUUCUUGUUGCAGAUGAUUCUGGAAGGCCGGUAGGUGUCGGGCGACAUUUGACCUUCUUCAGGUGCUUAGAACUAAGUGUCUGGAAACAUGAUCCUUUCGCGUAAGUUUCUUUCUGAAAGCCACCAAUCUUGACUGUAAGCUGUAUUUGAGAGAUCUUUUGGCUGAGUUUACUUAUGACCUAACGGUUAGUCACCAACUGAGGCAGGGCACAGGAUGACCAAAAAAAAAGUGUCAGUUUUUACACAACUCUGGCCUGCAAGAGCCUACGUGCUUCAUAAAUAAAAAUAAACAUACGAGCGAGGAAGGUGCAGAGCCCCGGAAAUAUUUUUUUCUCACAUUUUUGAAAUACCAUGCACAUAUAUGUGGCUAUUUAAGUAUAACUACUAGUGUUCACUCUUACUCAUUUCUACAACUUUUUUUUUUCCAUUUAAAAAUCGAUUAUUGUUACGGUUUAAACCUCGGGUUGGUCUAAAGUGACAUUGUUGGUCUCAUUACAGCCUCUAGUGGACAGUUAACAUCAGUUUCCUGAAAAGGCUCUGACUGGUUUUGUUUUCGUUGACAAGCUUUGUCAAGGUGAAGGUUAGUACGUAAGAGCAUAACCGGGUAAAAUGUCCCCUCACCCCUAUCCUCACCCCCGCCCCCAACACCCUGCUUGGCAAAGACGACUUCAGAAAGGAGCAGAAGCUUGUUGGCUUUAUAUAGAAAAGACGUAUGCUUUGUGCUGCAGGUAUUAUUAUUACUGGACUGUGAAUAAACAGAAAGCUUCUGCUAUUCAUUUCAGUUUCAGACAGCUUUCAUAAAAACUAAAUUCAUCUCAAAUAUUUUUAUAACAGAAAAUAUUGGUUGCCAUGUUUUUGGCUUAACUGCGAUGUUUUUAUUCCAACUCAUAAUCUGCAAACUGUCCAAUCCACCUCCACUCUAUUUUUAGACAUCUUACAUUUAGAUAAUUUUCAGUUAAAAAAAAGCUAAUAUUGUAAUUUUACGUUGGCACAAGCAGUUAAUUUACGUGAUUUUAACAACCUUAAAUUAAAACACAUAAUUCAGAUUACAGUUAGUCAAUUAAUUUAAAUGUUCUCUCAAGGAAGCUAAAUAUGUAUAUUACCCAAAUGGUAAAAACAAUUAAUAAGAAAUGUGUCAUUUACUUUCUUAGCCAUUAAGUUUAAAGCCAUAAACUGCCACCAAAAUCUGUAACUAUUUCUUCCUGCAAGAUCCAACAUAAACACCAUACUCAUGAAACUGUCUCAUUACCUUUAGUACUGAAAUAUUUUGUUUUCAGAUGGCAAAAUAUUAAGUGUACAAUCACAAAUAACAGGCACUGAUUCUUUAGAAACAAGACUUUCUCGUGCAAAUAAAAACUCAAUGAAAAAGGGCAGAGCUUCCAAGAAGCUAGUAGACAAAUAUAUAGUACUAUAGUCCUACUCAUAAGGCUGGUGUUAUGUUUGUAAAAGCAUAAGUCAACCUUUGAAAUUACAGGAAAUCGAUAAAUAAGGCCUGAUGAGCUUGACUCGUAUCCUGUGUCAUAGAUUGCUUAAAUACCAUGAAAAAUAAUUGUAAUCACAUAUCUAUUUUACUGUUUUGGUGGUAUCUACUCUUGAAGGUGUUAAAUGGGCCAGCAAGUAUAUAUUAUAUAAUUACAUAUUACACCCUUACUUAAAGUGUAGUUUUCAAAGUCGCCACAGCAGCACUUGGGAGCUUUUUAGACAUUCAGAGUCAAGGGUUCUACCCCAGACAUACCAAAUCAGAAUCUGCCUUUGAACCAGGCCCCUGGGUGAUUUCUAAACACAUUAUCAUGUGAAGAACACUGGUCUAUACCACAGGGAUCAACCUAAAUAAAUUUGGGCACAAGUGCAGAAGUUAAUUCCUCUAUUUAUUUCUUUUUUGCUCCUUUUUAGUAAGUACAGCCCUUAUUAAUUUGUGCUUUUCAAUGAAAAAUUAUUAUGUUAUAUGCUUUGGAUAAAUACUACUGCACUGUAAGUGCACACAUCUGCAUCAUUAUUGCCAAAAAAGAAUGCUCUGCUGAGGAAUGUACUGGGGUCUUGAACAUGAACAUUUUCUUCAUGGCAGCAGAGGGAGCACAAGAGUGCUUAAUAAAACCAGUGCACAGGUCUCUCCAAAUCAUGACAGAUUUUACAUUGUAGUAUAUGUUUUCAUUGGAAGUAGCCUGUUAUGUAGUUCAAAAUGAAGCAAAUCAACUGAGCAAACACAGAUAGGCUUACCAGGUCAUAACAACUAUGUAACUGAACAGAUUGAAAGUUGAAUAAAAUAAAGAUAAACUUCUUUAGAGUUUUAGGCUUGAAUUCUUAAAAGAAAGUGGACCUCAAAAGUGAAAAAGAUGCCUUAGCUUUGCUCAAAAACAAAGAUAACACAACACAGAAUCAGGCAACCCUAAGAUGCCUUAGCUUUACUCAAAAACAAAGAUAACACAGAAUCAGGCAACCCUAAUAGUAGCUCCUGUUUAUCUAAAAACAGAGUCAGUUCACUGGACCCUACAUCAGGUAACUUAAUUUCAUUUGGUGUCAUACAUGUUGGUUAAGGUCCAUGCGCCUUUUGCUGUGUUUACACUCAGAAUAAUUUUAGGGGUUUCUCCUUAAUGCUUGCAGUGGUGAGGAUUUAGGUUUCAGUUAUACCUACGUAGUAUUUCAUACUUUUCACUACUCUUCCAUAUUGCAUCCUCAAAAACUCCCUUGAAGCAGAUAACAUACUUGGUAAAAGCCAAGUAUCCAAAAAGUUAUGGAACCACAUCGUGCUUUCAUAACAUUGAGUCAUUUAAUUGUUUCAGUAGUGCUUUGAGGUAUUCAUAAAUGAGGGAAAUUAUACAGACUAAAGAUCCAGAGCAUUUUUUACAGUUUUAAAGGUUUUUCAAAGUUAUUCUUAGAUAAUAUGUUUAUAUAUUUAUUAUUUAUUUACAAGCAGUCACUUACUCUGCAUCUACAAUAACUAAGACUUGAGAAUAUAAAAUUGAGUAAGACAUCUUAGUGUGCAAGGAGAUCAGAGCAGAACAGAUCUUACCUUUGGAAAACUGUUAAUUUUUACCACGUUGAAACACAAAGAUUCAUAGUUGAUGCGAUCCAGCACCUGCCAGAAUCAUAGCAAUCAGACUUCCAAAUAUGAGAAUCAAACAUUAGAAUCAUUAAAAAUUUGAGAGGCGGGGGGGACAGUUGUACAACUCUUGAGCAAAAGUUGACUUAUAAGCUAAUAUUAAUAUUUCAAAUUUGUACGACAAACAAAUGUGAAGAUAUAAUGUGUAUUUUAUUUGAAUGUCUUCCCUAUCACAAAAUCACAUGAGUAAGUUGAGUUGGUAAACAUUUAUUUAUUUUUAUCUUUUCUAAAAUGCUGAAAAGAAUUUUUCUCCCACACUAAAGAGGGUUUGCCAAGUUUCUGCCUGGAGCAAUUUGUUAUGGCUGUGUAAUAAAUCCCAGAAAGUUUGAAUUUUUAAUGGAAACACUGACAGAAUAAAGAGGGUGUAAUCCUACAUAUGUCAUUUAAAAAUCUGAGCAAACCAUAGUGUGCUUGCAAAACAAAUAUACUUUCCUUAGAUUGCACUCACAAAUAAGGCUGGGGAGACCACAAAAGUAAAACAAACUCAAAAGUGAAAAACACUCACACAAUAGACUCUGAGGUCAGCUCACCACACCCAGACUAAAGUCACUGGGCUCUGUGCGUGUCACCAAGACUCUUAAAAGACAUACUUCUGAAUCAUCUUUCUUGACCCUCCACCAAACUGUAGCAAGACAGGCUUCCUGGGAAUGAAAAUGACAUUAGCAUUAGUCAAGAGUGAAAUUAAAGUCAUUGUACUCAAACAUCUGCCAACAGUCUGUGAUUUCAUAGUACCCACCUCUGAAAUAAGACUCUGUCUACAAUUAAAAACAAAGAAAAAAAGGUACUUUAGGUCUUCACUAUCCACUAUGUCUACUGAGCACUUGAAAUGUGUGAUUAGUCCAAAUUAACAUGUGCUGUAAGUGUGAAAUAUUCCUCAGAUUUUAAAAACUUGGUAUAAAAAAUACAUAUUUUACAUAUAAUAUAUAUUAUUCAUUAUUCCUAUAUUAUUAAUUUUAUGUAUUAUAUAUACACACAUGUAAUAUCUCCAUUUUUACAUUGAUUAAAUGUUGAAAAUAUUGGGUUAUUUUUUAAUAGUGUACAUUGGGUUAAAUAAAAUAUAUUAUUAAACUUCAUUUUACCUGUUUCUUUUUACUUUUUUUUUUGAGACAGGGUCUAGGUCUGUCACCCAGGCUGCAGUGCAGUGCAGUAGUGCAGUCUCUGCUCACUGCAACCUCCACCUCCUG
rnacentral:lncRNA from 1 species